rnacentral:rRNA from 1 species
UUGGUUCUGGCAUCGAUGAAGAACGCAGCGAAAUGCGAUAAGUAAUGUGAAUUGCAGAAUUCAGUGAAUCAUCGAAUCUUUGAACGCACAUUGCACCCCCUGGUAUUCCGGGGGGCAUGCCUGUUCGAGCGUCAUUACAACCCUCAAGCUCUGCUUGGUAUUGGGCUUCGUCGGUCCCCGGCGUGCCUUAAAGCUAUCGGCGGUGGUGCCUUUCUCUAA